UGUACCCAUUAAUGCCGAGCGCCAGGCAGGGACCAUCAAUUGGCAACAGAAUAUCAUCUAAGAUUUUACAAAAACUAAUCACAACACGUACUUUCAGUUUACCUUAACUCGGUGCAUUGCCUGUUAAUGUUGUUCAUUGGGAUACUUGCAAACAGUAAAGUAUUCAGAAACCUGAUUUUUGUUUUUAUUGUUGAAAAUCCGGACUGGUAAUUUUUAAAAGUUACCAGUCCGGCUGUCUGGCUUGGAAUUUUGGGAGCUUUAAACACUGGCUAGAAGCGGCGUAAAACUAAACUCACUCACUCAUGAUCACGCACUCAUUUCUACAGUUGCCAGCCGAAUAUCAUCUGAAAUACCUAUCAAUACGCUAAGUGUUCAUUCCAUGUUCUACUUGUUGAUGUUUAUUGUAGCUGUACAUUAUUUACAUAUAUCAAAACACUAAUGAAAUCAAGUUAAUAAAAUCAUUACAACUGUAUGUUCCAAAUAAAUGAACUCGCGUGUCUUGUCACAAGAUGUGUGACAAUCUCCCAAAGUUUUAAAAAAUAAAUUUCAGCUACAAACUACACGAAAUUGCAAGUAAUCAGACAAGCUAUUACCAUCACUCUUUCAGAGUAACAUAUUAUAUAAUAAUUAUUUACUCUAGGGACAUGAAAUUUAUGAAUGUUAGUGUGUAUAUAUAUUAUCGACCGCAGCCCAUAAUAUCUGUAAAUGCAAUGAAAUAUCAGCGUUCGAAAUACCUGCCUGCCCGACCGCCCGGGACGGGUUAUUUUCAACACGGACAGACAGAUUCUCAAAUUCACCUGCCCGACGGUCGGGUUAAAAUUUAGACAUGUAUAUGAAGAUAUUUUGUGAACAGGUAAGUUUUGGUCUGGGCUGGCAAGUUCUACAUCUAACCAGCACUGUGGUCUGGCUGAAAGGUUUGAGAGUUUCAUACCCAGGAAAUAUAUAGAAUAUUGUUUUUAUGAAUUCUUGGUUUGUUUUCAUUCAUCCGUUUUGUAGAACUGUAUAUAGCUAGUGAGAUAUUUUUAAAUUAUUAUAUAAUUGUGUAUGAUAUUCAUUUACGAUGUUACCUAUGUAAAGUCUGUGACGUAGACUCCAUGUCUGUUAUAAAGUGCUGUAAUUAAAACUAUUCUAUCUAUUACGUUUCCUUUUGUGUUCAUUAUUAUGCCUGUUAUAUACAUUGUGAAUAUGUUUGUACAUAGUGCUUUAAACAAAUUAUAUUCAUUAUUCUAUAAAUUAGAUGAUAAACAUUUCGUUUUUCGUUUGUAUCCUCACUGUAGAUUCGACUCCCUGUAAUUGAAAUACAUGUUGCUGAGCAAUCCCAGCCUCCCAUUCUAUCAGUGUCGUUUAAAUUUCAGCCUUCAAUUCAAUACUAUUUUUUUCCUGCUCCAACAAUGUCACCCAUUUUUCGGUUAAAGUUCAGAUUAAACUGUUACCAAAUC